AAACACCUUAGAGAUCAAUAUUGAUCAGGGGAGACGCCUGGCCCUGCAGAAUGAGAUCGACCAGAAGUCCAAUCCAGUCCAACUCAAAGCAGCACCGGUACCAUCGGGUUUGGGCCAGUGGGGCACUGCACAGUUUGACAGUUCUGACCAACAUAGUAAGUUCCUUCGGUUGAUGGGUGGCUUCAAGAAGAGCGGGCAGCCAAUAGCAUCGAGCGGUGCGACAGGAGGGCGGGCCAACAUGGCGCUGACUAAAGACGGACAGCAGAGCUUGCAGCAAGGCCUACUGGGGGAGUUUGAGCGCGCUCAGUCGCGCCGCAUGGACUUCACAGGAAGGGGGGGGCGGGACUUGGGUUCUCGGCGCCGUCCAAUAAGAAGUUCUCAAUUGACAUCAACACAACCCGAUCGGUGCGCUUCGAUGAUUAAGUCGGAACGGACCAUUGAGUGUGUGUCUAGCAUCCAAAAUUGAUUUGGAUGAGUGUGUGUGUACCUUUUCUCUUGCAGGGUCUUGGGAGUGUCUGUCGGUGAAUGUGGUGUGUAUGAAUGUAUAUACGGUACCAGUCAGUAGUUUGGACACACCUACUCAUUACAGGGUUUUUCUAUAUUUUUACUACAUUGUAGAAUAAUAGUGAAGAGAUCAAAACUAUGAAAUAACACAUGGAAUCAUGUAGUAACCAAAAAAGUGUUAAAC